GUCUACAGCCAUGCCACCCUGAACAAACCCGAUCUCGUCUGAUCUCGGAAGCUAAGCAAGGUUGGGCCUGGUUAGACUUGGAUGGGAGACCACCUAGGAAGACCAGGUGCUGUAGGCA
rnacentral:rRNA from 1 species